rnacentral:rRNA from 1 species
UACGUAGGGUGCGAGCGUUAUCCGGAAUUAUUGGGCGUAAAGAGCUCGUAGGCGGUUUGUCGCGUCUGCUGUGAAAGCCCAGGGCUUAACCCUGGGUUUGCAGUGGGUACGGGCAGGCUGGAGUGCAGUAGGGGAGACUGGAAUUCCUGGUGUAGCGGUGAAAUGCGCAGAUAUCAGGAGGAACACCGAUGGCGAAGGCAGGUCUCUGGGCUGUUACUGACGCUGAGGAGCGAAAGCAUGGGGAGCGAACAGG